UGGGGAAUCCUGGACAAUGGGCGAAAGCCUGAUCCAGCGACGCCGCGUGGGUGAUGAAGGCCUUCGGGUUGUAAAGCCCUGUUGAGGGGAAAGAAAACGUUGGGCGCGAAUAGCUCCUGACCUUGACGGUACCCCUCCAGAAAGCACCGGCUAACUCUGUGCCAGCAGCCGCGGUAAGACAGAGGGUGCAAACGUUGCUCGGAAUUACUGGGCGUAAAGCGCGUGUAGGCGGGCCAACAAGUCAGAUGUGAAAUCCCUGGGCUCAACCCAGGAACUGCAUUUGAAACUGUUGGCCUUGAGUGGUGGAGAGGGAAGCGGAAUUCCUGGUGUAGAGGUGAAAUUCGUAGAUAUCAGGAGGAACACCGGUGGCGAAGGCGACUUCCUGGACACCAACUGACGCUGAGACGCGAAAGCGUGGGGAGCAAACAG
rnacentral:rRNA from 1 species